GAUGAAGAACGUAGCGAAAUGCGAUACGUAAUGUGAAUUGCAGAAUUCAGUGAAUCAUCGAAUCUUUGAACGCAUAUUGCGCUCUCUGGUAUUCCGGAGAGCAUGCUUGUUUGAUUAUCAGUAAACACCUCAACUUCCAUAUCUUUUUUGAAAUGGGAGUUGGACUUGAGUGAUCCCAACGCUUUUCCUCACCGAAAAGUGGCGGGUUACUUGAAAUGCAGGUGCAGCUUGACUUUUCUCUGAGCUAUAAGCAUAUCUAUUUAGUCUGCCUAAAAAACAGAUUAUUACCUUUGCUGCAGCUAACAUAAAGGAGAUUAGUUCUUGUGUUGACUGAUGCAGGAUUCACAAAGACAGGCUUCGGCCGACUUUGUAAACUCGAUCUCAAAUCAAGUAAGACUACCCGCUGAACUUAAGCAUAUCAAUAAGCGGAGGA
rnacentral:misc_RNA from 1 species